rnacentral:rRNA from 1 species
AUUGAACGCUGGCGGCAGGCCUAACACAUGCAAGUCGAGCGGUAGCACAGAGAGCUUGCUCUCGGGUGACGAGCGGCGGACGGGUGAGUAAUGUCUGGGAAACUGCCUGAUGGAGGGGGAUAACUACUGGAAACGGUAGCUAAUACCGCAUAACGUCGCAAGACCAAAGUGGGGGACCUUCGGGCCUCAUGCCAUCAGAUGUGCCCAGAUGGGAUUAGCUAGUAGGUGGGGUAACGGCUCACCUAGGCGACGAUCCCUAGCUGGUCUGAGAGGAUGACCAGCCACACUGGAACUGAGACACGGUCCAGACUCCUACGGGAGGCAGCAGUGGGGAAUAUUGCACAAUGGGCGCAAGCCUGAUGCAGCCAUGCCGCGUGUGUGAAGAAGGCCUUCGGGUUGUAAAGCACUUUCAGCGGGGAGGAAGGCGGUGAGGUUAAUAACCUCAUCGAUUGACGUUACCCGCAGAAGAAGCACCGGCUAACUCCGUGCCAGCAGCCGCGGUAAUACGGAGGGUGCAAGCGUUAAUCGGAAUUACUGGGCGUAAAGCGCACGCAGGCGGUCUGUCAAGUCGGAUGUGAAAUCCCCGGGCUCAACCUGGGAACUGCAUUCGAAACUGGCAGGCUAGAGUCUCGUAGAGGGGGGUAGAAUUCCAGGUGUAGCGGUGAAAUGCGUAGAGAUCUGGAGGAAUACCGGUGGCGAAGGCGGCCCCCUGGACAAAGACUGACGCUCAGGUGCGAAAGCGUGGGGAGCAAACAGGAUUAGAUACCCUGGUAGUCCACGCCGUAAACGAUGUCGAUUUGGAGGUUGUGCCCUUGAGGCGUGGCUUCCGGAGCUAACGCGUUAAAUCGACCGCCUGGGGAGUACGGCCGCAAGGUUAAAACUCAAAUGAAUUGACGGGGGCCCGCACAAGCGGUGGAGCAUGUGGUUUAAUUCGAUGCAACGCGAAGAACCUUACCUGGUCUUGACAUCCACAGAACUUUCCAGAGAUGGAUUGGUGCCUUCGGGAACUGUGAGACAGGUGCUGCAUGGCUGUCGUCAGCUCGUGUUGUGAAAUGUUGGGUUAAGUCCCGCAACGAGCGCAACCCUUAUCCUUUGUUGCCAGCGGUUAGGCCGGGAACUCAAAGGAGACUGCCAGUGAUAAACUGGAGGAAGGUGGGGAUGACGUCAAGUCAUCAUGGCCCUUACGACCAGGGCUACACACGUGCUACAAUGGCAUAUACAAAGAGAAGCGACCUCGCGAGAGCAAGCGGACCUCAUAAAGUAUGUCGUAGUCCGGAUUGGAGUCUGCAACUCGACUCCAUGAAGUCGGAAUCGCUAGUAAUCGUAGAUCAGAAUGCUACGGUGAAUACGUUCCCGGGCCU